rnacentral:rRNA from 1 species
UGAAUUAAUGUGAACUGCAUACUGCUUUGAACAUCGACAUCUUGAACGCACAUUGCGGCCAUGGGUCAAACUGUGGCCACGCCUGUCCGAGGGUCGG